GCAGGUGACGUGUGGACAUUAAAGUUUGAGAAGCACUGCUUUAGGAGGUAAAAAGUAAAACAGCUAAGAGAAUGGGUUCCGGACUGAACUCCUAGGCUCGGGGUCUUGAGUGAGUUACGCAACCCUCCACACCACAGAGUCCCCAGCUGUCAGAUGAGAACAGGCUUCACCUCGUAGAGACGUGGGGGCAUACAUAACGUAAGCUAAAUAACUAAACAACGUCCUGUGAGGGUAACGCGCGGAACAUUACAAUUCCUCAAUGAUACAGGAUGAACCAUCAUUACUCAGUUAAAACCGGUUAAUUUUAAUUGAAUUUGAACUGCCACCCAGAACAGACAAGAACAUGAAACAAUUCUGCGUGGGUUUCAGACACAAGAAAUGUAGAAGGAAAUAAAUAAAAAUGUUAAAACCCCUUCGGCAAGUGUUAAGCUGCCUGUCCAACCAUGGCUGUGCCGAACAGGGAUCAACCCGGCGGCUGGAGCCUCUGAAACGGCCACCCCGCCUUUCCGCCGCGUCCCCAGGUUUGCCCUCGCGCGGUUCUUCCAGCUCCAGCUAAGCAACUUCCUGCGGCGGUUGGGAUGCUCAGACCCGGACGCCUGUCGCCUCCGGAUACCUCCGCGGCCCCAAAACGCAGCCGGCUCGGCUGAAACGUGUGCGCACACUGCCCCCUAGGGGACAGGCUCUGUCAUGACCCUCACACCCCAGGAAAGGCCAAAGCGUGGGUGUGUGGAGUUGGCUCAGAGGCAAAGGACUGCAUGCUUGGCUGUGACGCUCUGCAGCUUUGGAAUUCCUACGGGUCCACUCUGAGCGCUAAGGAAUAGCAAGCUGCGUCAGUGUGGGGCCUCACUAGAAUUUGCGAGACAAUUGGAUGUGCAUGACCUGGCUUUGAUUCCCUCAAAUGUUAGGAAGGAAGGCACUGACGGUGAUGAGAGUCUGGAAUGACAGCCCACAUUGGGAGUGAAAUGUCAGCUACACUGUGUUUACGGCUAUGAACAUUUUUACCCAAGACUUAAGAUGUUGGGAGAACGAUAGGGUAAAGUGAGCAAGCGAUGAAACGCAUUCGAUGAGUAAUUCUUGAGAGCCUACCAUCCACCAGGCCAUGUUCCAGGAGCUUCUGAACAAGAGACAUGAGGAUCCUUGCUCUCAGGGAGCCGAAAUUCUAAUCAACAUUGCCGCAUCCUCUCGGUCUCCCCGGCUUCCGUGAGCUUCCCUCAGCUCCAGAGGCGCCGCUGACUUGCCUUGGAAUGCAAGAUGAGGGCGGUGUGCCCGGUCCCUCCAGAGGCAGCUCGCAGACCCCCUGUCUCUUCCUUAUGGGCUAACAGGGUGUUGUCUUCUGUCUUUCCUUUUGCCUUCUUCUUGUCCAUUGCGGGGUUUUGGGGUGUGUGCGUGUAUAAGAUUUGGGGGGGGGGGGAUGCUACCACACGUGAUGGUAUCUGAUCCUGGUCUUGGACUUGGAGUUGGAGAGAGCAGAACUAUGAGGCUCCUUAAGGGAUAGAAGGUUUUACCAGCUCACUGCCGUGAGACGCUCGGCAGAAUCAAACCGACUUCUGGUGACAUAAGGCCGCAAAAGUCACCAGGGGCUUCAGUUCAAAGGCUUCAUUUGAACCCACAGUGUAUUUUUGCCCCUUAAACUAUUGUCACUGUGCCCAUUCUGUGGCCUACCUCCUGAUAGUUCAUAAUCCCUUCCCCGUCACCACUUUGGAGACGUGCUAGCCGAGCCCCCUUUGCUGGUGGUGUGCCGUGGAGGUGGCUGGGGGGCCGGGCUCGCAGUGACCACUGCCCCCUUCCCUGGGGCGCAUCCUGAGAUUGCGCUCAAGCAGACGAGAGGUCCAAGGGGACUGACUGCCAGCCCACAGGGCCUCACGUCUGCCCACGCCUGAUGCUACUGCAGCUUCCUUCUCCUUCCUCCAGGGCCCUCUGGCUCCGGGACUGAGGAAUCGCAGAGAAAGCACAUCUUCUACCUCAGUGCUCAGUUCGAUUUCAGUUACUGAGCUUGCCCACCCUUCCUGUCAACCAACCACCCCAGAUCCGUUAAUGGCACACUGCGUGUCCUGCGGUGUCCCUGCCUCGCCUGUCCUUUUCUCAGCAGGAUCUCCAGCACAGGAAGGUGCCCACACACAGUAAGGCCCUCGGUAAGGAAAUCUGACAGGCAUUUCUUCCCAGCUCUGCUUCUAGGCCACUCCAGCCCAUCAGGAGCCCCCUUGCCUCCUCGAAGGUGAAUGUGUGUAUAAGGCACUUUCAGCCGCGGCUUCUUGGCACAGACAGAACAUCAGCUCCGCCGCAGACGCCGCCUGAGGGAACAGCGCUGCUACCAAACCCUCCCCGUGCUUGUCAAUGGUUUCCUAAUGGACGGCUUCCGCGAGACUCUGUCCUCCAGGUCAGCCGCUGCACGUCCACUCGAGGCUGCUGGAGGCCACGCUCCUGCGCCUUCUUCCCUGCUCCGGAAACGGACACUGGGACUGCGUGAGCCUGGAGGAAGUCGGCCAGACAGGAAGUAAACGCACUUGGGAAGUGCCUGCGAUGGGAAACGCUGCUGACAUAAUGGGAGUUUACACUGCUGGUGUGUCAGAGAACACGGAUUCCUUCCUGGACCCGCAGCCAGUUUGACCCAUGGCUGCAUCUUCUCUGGUCUCUGAUCUGGUUGAUCCAAGUGGUGUUAGACCUACCCCACUCACUGGGAGCCGCAUCAUUGUGAGAUGUCCUCCCAGGUGUCCUGAGCCCCAGAGUAUGAUACAGUACUGGGAUGUGCUUGCAGCUACCCUGGCACCCACCAGCCUGGUCACAGAGCCAAAGAAGAGGAGCCAGGAAAUGCACGGUGAGAAACUAGGUCCUGAUCCCAUUGUCUGAGUGCUGGAUCAAGCUGCGUAGAAGUGGAUCCCUUCAACUGUUCAAUUACAUGGACUAGCAAAUUUCCCUUAUUUAAAAAACGCACUUUAGAUCAGUUGUCCACCUCUUAUAACUAAGAGUUUUGAUACGGAAGACCUUUCUUCUCAGCUGUGGUGACUCAAUGGGCUUCUUAAGGAAUUCUCCAUAUCAUGUCCCGAGUUAUCAUGCAUGGGGGCAGGGUGUCUCCACUUGAAUAUAAGCCACAUCCGUUGCAGGGACUGAAAUAAUCCAGGCAUAUCCGUGAACUGCCGUGAGUGUUUGCACAAGGGCCGAGUUGCAUCUCAGGAGAGACGUCCUCCUGAGGGAUGAGGAAGCUGUGCAUCCAAGCUUGGCCUAGGUAGGGUGGGGGCGAUCCUGGCAAUGGCAUGGGGUUGUCCCUAGUUCCCCAUGUUGGAGUCUUCAGACAGAGGGAACUGUGUGUGCAGACAGGAAGAAUUCCUCACUACAAAUUCUGUAAGACCCCACAGUGUGUUUGGUACCCCCUAUAGCCCAUGACACAGUCAUGGUGACCAAUCCUGACACUUCCAAGGUUUGAGAACACUAGAGUGCUCGAAGGGACAAGGGGAAGUAGCCGCAGAGGAGAUGGGAGAUUGCGGGGGCCACACUGUCUUUCGGGAAUCAGGAGUGCUCAGUGGGCAGGUGGGCCUGGCUGGAACAGCAGAACUCAACAAAACUGGCUGUGCUUCCCACAGACACAGCAUCACCCAGCAGACCCAAGGCUGUCUGGCAGUGGGAGGCUGGAGUGGACAGGAGGAAAAAGCAGGGGAUGCCAUACGAAAGCAGGCUGGAUUUCUCCCUUGAGCACAUGAGAUACCUCCUCCUGCAGACCCCACGAAAAACUCUGGCCGGGGACGGGGUGGUGAAUGUGGAGGGACCUGAAGUCUUGCAUUGGUAGAUGAGAACAAGACCUUGCAAAAUAAGUUAGUGCCAUAAAUGACCUAUGAUAGCAGGUCAAACCACGCUGGGAUUCUGUUCUCCUAACUGCUGGGGGCACCAUGCCUGUUUCUCUCUUGGCUUGCCUUCCCCAGCCACAUUCUCCUUCUAAAACCCUCCCCUCCACAUAAGAACCUCUCCCCCAGCGUCUGCUAGGCAAAGUCAAGCCUGCCCUUUCUACUCCCGUCGCAUCUUUUGAGUGCUCGUGUUCUAAAUGCUUUCCAUGCUUACUGUAAGUUGCUGACAUGUGUCUCCUCCACUAUACUCUGAACAAUUUGUGCUGAUAUUGUAUUUUCUCUGAACUGAGCACCAUAUAAAUGUUUGUUGAAUUA